UAUGGAUAUGGACUCAUGUCCAUAUCUGCUUGAAGGCGGCUGCAAUCAUUGAUUUACUACAGAGACCUUUUCUGUCCACGGUGCUGCGUCACCUGAUUUUGGCCCGACGGGCCGUGUAUCAAGUGGGCCCAAUAGGGGCAUGUCCUAGGGUUGUGGGAUGACCCCCACCAUGUCCUGGUCAUCCUUUACCCUCUCAUAUACCACCAUAGCCGCC
rnacentral:lncRNA from 1 species